UGCAAGUCGAGCGGAUGAAGGGAGCUUGCUCCCUGAUUCAGCGGCGGACGGGUGAGUAAUGCCUAGGAAUCUGCCUGGUAGUGGGGGACAACGUCUCGAAAGGGACGCUAAUACCGCAUACGUCCUACGGGAGAAAGCAGGGGACCUUCGGGCCUUGCGCUAUCAGAUGAGCCUAGGUCGGAUUAGCUAGUUGGUGAGGUAAUGGCUCACCAAGGCGACGAUCCGUAACUGGUCUGAGAGGAUGAUCAGUCACACUGGAACUGAGACACGGUCCAGACUCCUACGGGAGGCAGCAGUGGGGAAUAUUGGACAAUGGGCGAAAGCCUGAUCCAGCCAUGCCGCGUGUGUGAAGAAGGUCUUCGGAUUGUAAAGCACUUUAAGUUGGGAGGAAGGGCAUUAACCUAAUACGUUGGUGUUUUGACGUUACCGACAGAAUAAGCACCGGCUAACUCUGUGCCAGCAGCCGCGGUAAUACAGAGGGUGCAAGCGUUAAUCGGAAUUACUGGGCGUAAAGCGCGCGUAGGUGGUUUGUUAAGUUGGAUGUG
rnacentral:rRNA from 1 species